GACGGAGGGUGCAAGCGUUGCUCGGAAUUACUGGGCGUAAAGGGUACGUAGGCGGCCUGUCAAGUCUAAUGUGAAAGCCCGCGGCUUAACCGCGGAAGGGCAUUGGAAACUGGAAGGCUAGAGUAAUGUAAGGGAGAGGGGAAUUCCCGGUGUAGCGGUGAAAUGCGUAGAUAUCGGGAAGAACACCAGAGGCGAAAGCGCGCAUCUGGGCCGUUACUGACGCUGAGGGACGAAAGCUAGGGGAGCGAAUGGG
rnacentral:rRNA from 1 species